rnacentral:rRNA from 1 species
GACGAACGCUGGCGGCGUGCUUAACACAUGCAAGUCGAACGGAAAGGCCCUGCUUUUGUGGGGUGCUCGAGUGGCGAACGGGUGAGUAACACGUGAGUAACCUGCCCUUGACUUUGGGAUAACUUCAGGAAACUGGGGCUAAUACCGGAUAGGAGCUCCUGCUGCAUGGUGGGGGUUGGAAAGUUUCGGCGGUUGGGGAUGGACUCGCGGCUUAUCAGCUUGUUGGUGGGGUAGUGGCUUACCAAGGCUUUGACGGGUAGCCGGCCUGAGAGGGUGACCGGCCACAUUGGUACUGCGAUACGGCCCAGACUCCUACGGGAGGCAGCAGUGGGGAAUAUUGCGCAGUGGGCGGACGCCAGAUGCAGCAACGCCGCGUGCGUGAUGACGGCCUUCGGGUUGUGAACCGCUUUCGCCUGUGACGAAGCGUGAGUGACGGUAAUGGGUAAAAAAGCACCGGCUAACUACGUG